rnacentral:rRNA from 1 species
GGCGAACGGGCGAGUAACACGUGAGUAACCUGCCCUUGACUUUGGGAUAACUUCAGGAAACUGGGGCUAAUACCGGAUAGGAGCUCCUGCUGCAUGGUGGGGGUUGGAAAGUUUCGGCGGUUGGGGAUGGACUCGCGGCUUAUCAGCUUGUUGGUGGGGUAGUGGCUUACCAAGGCUUUGACGGGUAGCCGGCCUGAGAGGGUGACCGGCCACAUUGGGACUGAGAUACAGCCCAG